UACGUAGGUGGCAAGCGUUGUUCGGAAUUAUUGGGCGUAAAGAGCUCGUAGGCGGCUUGUCACGUCGAUUGUGAAAGCCCGAGGCUUAACCUCGGGUCUGCAGUCGAUACGGGCUAGCUAGAGUGUGGUAGGGGAGAUCGGAAUUCCUGGUGUAGCGGUGAAAUGCGCAGAUAUCAGGAGGAACACCGGUGGCGAAGGCGGAUCUCUGGGCCAUUACUGACGCUGAGGAGCGAAAGCGUGGGGAGCGAACAGG
rnacentral:rRNA from 1 species